ACUGAUAUACUACGCACAGGACCAGGACCACACUGGGACAAUGAGAGCUACAAAGCACUACCGAGCACCUGUCACUGGGCAUGUACAAGCUAGCCCUGCCCCAGAGCAACCAGCACUGGGAACCUAGGAAUGCUUCACUCAUCUUGGGUCCUGGCAGUCUCAGCCCAUAGGUGACUGGGAGCCCACCUGACUGGGGGCCUCGAGCUCGGACCUCAGGAGCCCCAGGGCCGUUGGCUUCCUCCUCAUCACUUUCAGCAAAGUCAUCCAGGUUUCCCACAUCACUAGGCUUCACACUCAUGAGGCUGGCCAGACUCUGCAUGUCAUCAUCCCUGUGGGUUUGACAUCAGAAGUAAAGGCUGGGAUCAGAGAUCACGAGCCAGGGAGGGCCAGGGAAGACAGGUGGGCACUCACGUGGCACGGCCUUCACGGAGGAGCACCCCAGAAAGGGAGAACAACCCUCCAGGGGCGCCCUGUGGCUACCCAGCAUCAUUACUCUCUGCCCUGCCUGCCCACGUCUGAGCUCUAGGAACUCACCCUGUACAAGGUCACCGAGAUGUCCACGUUCUCAGGAACCAUCCACACCACAGUGCCACGGUAUGGGUUCUGGAUGCCAGGCUGCCAGCUGUGGGCCUGCAAGAGGCAGUAGGAGCCCUCCUGAGUCUAACUCUCCCCUAUCACCACCAUGCCCUUAUCUUCUUUCCCCUCAUCUUCCUUUCUCCCUGUAGACAACAAGAUGGCUUGAACCUUAUUAUACUCCCCCAUCAACUUCCA